UGGAAACAAGUGGUACAAGACGAUUCAAACAACAAAUAAAUGAGGAAUAUGACAGAGAUCAGGAAGUUGCAGCAUUGCAGGUCCCAACUCCAUCUUUACAAUCGUUUGUAAGAUCGUUGAAUGUUUCAAUCUGCUUCUUCCCUCUCAAGAAUACUUCUGUGUCAACAGAUGCUCUCAUGUAACCAUCAAAUUCGACCGGGUUGCCUCCAUUAAGCUUAGUAGUCUCUGAAUACCACUCACUGCUCUCAUCCCAAAGAUCUUUGUAGUCGUAAAGGAAAUGAGUGGCGUACUUAUCUUUCAAAGGGUUGAAGAAGGAUAAUUCUCCUUCAUUUGUUGCGAUGUAGAGAUGCCUUCCUUCUUCAACUUUGUCCUGCAAGGUCGACAAGAGAGCGCUCGGGGAAGUAUCCGCUUCAAGAUUAGGCCAAACCUCCUUGUUUCUUGCUUUCUCUCCUCUCUCAAUGUGUACAGCAUCGUAGUCCCAGUUUAACCUUGAUGCAAUAGCAGAGACGAUUUCCAUCAACCUUCUUGAUUUCCAUAACAGAUGCCACGGUCGUUUAACAACAGAUUCUGCAUCUCCUUCACAAACCCUGUACCAAUAAUUGUCUGGUUCUACAGAUCCAAACUUCCUCAUUAUCAACGUAUCUUUGACAGCCGCGAGCUUCAUGGGAGUGACCCUAAAAUCCUCCACGAGAUGAAGGUUCAAUCUAUUUCUUCUCUUCUUACGCAAUUUCCCCCACUGAGCCCAAAACUGAGCUUCAUCCAACACAGAAGCAGCUUCUUUCAAAUGCUCGAAAUCAAAGUAAAACCUGAAAUCCUUGCCUUCCUCAUUCUGACCAGACGAAGUAUAGAUAGAAGACAAACACAAGGUCAAAUCCAUCACUAGAGUCCUAUUCAAAUACUGAGCUUCCCCAAGAGCACACAAGAAACUCCACAGAAAAUGAUUCAUACUCUUACACCUAUCUCCACCACCAACAUAAACCAAAUACUUGCCAGUCUUAAACACACUAUCAGACUCAACCAUAGGAAGAGAAUCAUUCACAAGUUCACCAACAACAGGCAAAGAGAAAUCAUCUUUCUUCCCACCAGUUUUCUCAAACCCAGCUUUCUGAUUCUUCUUCCUCUUCCUCGCAUUCAAACCCGAAUGAUACUCACCAAUCCCAACAACACUCACACUACAAUUCUCAGACUUAGCAACAACAAACCUCCUAUAAUCCUUAUAAAAAGCAGCACUCUUCCCAUCUCUAGGCCUAUAACGCCACGCCAUAUCACAAGAAUUCACACCUUCUUCGCCAGUAACAGGCUUACCAAACUUAUAAAAGUGAAUAUCUUUAAACUUGUCAAUAGUAGCUCUCAUCAUAAGAUGAAACACUUGCUGAUCUUUGCAAUCAAUUGGAGUAUUCACAUCACAUUCCAACUUGUUACCCUCUUCCUCUGUAGUAGUCUCAUUGGUGCUGGCUUCAACAUCGUUUAUGUUGAUAAACUCUGCAAAUGCGGUUUGGUUAGCGAGCAUGAAAUCUUCACCGGUUUUAACAACGGAGUCAUCGGAUCUAAGUGUAGCGUUUGAUGUGGAAGUGAGGAAAGUUGUGAUUUUGUCAGAUGGGUGGAAGAGAGGAUCUUCUGGUUCGUAAGUUGCGGCGAUUAUGGUGAAGAUUAGUACUCCGAAGACGAAGAGUGAGAAGCCUAUGUUACCGAUUAAGGUAAGUGCGUUUUGACCUAGAUUCUCUGCACGGAAUCCUCCUCCACGAAUCGCAGAUCGGCCAAACAUUUUCUAUUCUACGGAUCUGGGAAU
rnacentral:lncRNA from 1 species